rnacentral:rRNA from 1 species
UACGGGGGGGGCAAGCGUUGUUCGGAAUUACUGGGCGUAAAGGGCUCGUAGGCGGCCAACUAAGUCAGACGUGAAAUCCCUCGGCUUAACCGGGGAACUGCGUCUGAUACUGGAUGGCUUGAGUUCGGGAGAGGUGAGUGGAACUGCGAGUGUAGAGGUGAAAUUCGUAGAUAUUCGCAAGAACACCAGUGGCGAAGGCGGCUCACUGGCCCGAUACUGACGCUGAGGCACGAAAGCGUGGGGAGCAAACAGG